rnacentral:rRNA from 1 species
UACGAGUGCCCCAAGCGUUAUCCGGAAUCAUUGGGCGUAAAGGGUGUGUAGGUGGCGUAAUUAGUCUUCUGUUAAAAUCUCGGGCUCAACCCGAGACUUGCAGAGGAAACGGUUAUGCUCGAGGGUGCGAGGGGUGAAUGGAACUCAUGGAGUAGGGGUGAAAUCCGUUGAUAUCAUGGGGAACACCAAAAGCGAAGGCAAUUCGACUGGCGCAUUCCUGACACUG